rnacentral:rRNA from 1 species
GAUGAACGCUGGCGGCGUGCCUAAUACAUGCAAGUCGAGCGAAUGGAUUAAGAGCUUGCUCUUAUGAAGUUAGCGGCGGACGGGUGAGUAACACGUGGGUAACCUGCCCAUAAGACUGGGAUAACUCCGGGAAACCGGGGCUAAUACCGGAUAACAUUUUGAACCGCAUGGUUCGAAAUUGAAGAGCGGCUUCGGCUGUCACUUAUGGAUGGACCCGCGUCGCAUUAGCUGGUUGGUGAGGUAACGGCUCACCAAGGCAACGAUGCGUAGCCGACCUGAGAGGGUGAUCGGCCACACUGGGACUGAGACACGGCCCAGACUCCUACGGGAGGCAGCAGUAGGGAAUCUUCCGCAAUGGACGAAAGUCUGACGGAGCAACGCCGCGUGAGUGAUGAAGGCUUUCGGGUCGUAAAACUCUGUUGUUAGGGAAGAACAAGUGCUAGUUGAAUAAGCUGGCACCUUGACGGUACCUAACCAGAAAGCCACGGCUAACUACGUGCCAGCCGCCGCGGUAA